rnacentral:rRNA from 1 species
UACGUAGGGUGCGAGCGUUAAUCGGAAUUACUGGGCGUAAAGCGUGCGCAGGCGGUUUUGUAAGCCAGAUGUGAAAUCCCCGGGCUUAACCUGGGAAUGGCAUUUGGGACUGCAAGGCUUGAGUGCGGCAGAGGAGACUGGAAUUCCUGGUGUAGCAGUGAAAUGCGUAGAUAUCAGGAGGAAUACCGAUGGCGAAGGCAGGUCUCUGGGCUGACACUGACGCUCAUGCACGAAAGCGUGGGGAGCGAAACAAG